rnacentral:lncRNA from 1 species
CCAAUUAUGACGGCAUCAGCCUUUGAGAAAAGAAAACAGCUUUAUUGUGAGAUCCAUCAGUAAGGAGACAGGAGGCAUUUGCUCUCAGAUCCAGGGCUUGGAUCCAGGGCUUGGGGCACAAUUUAUGGGAUGACAGGCAGGGCGGUCUGAAGCAUGGAGAUGGAUGAUUGGAGGGAGCCCCAGGAGCCGAAUGCACCCCGCCUCUCUGCUCUCUCACCCUCAGUCUGCUCCAGGGAACAGUGAGUGGCUUACCCGAUUGCCCUGGGGACCGCUGCUGUACUCCAGAAGGCUCCCAUCCCAAGGGAUGCUGAGAAGUCACCUCAGCUCGGCUAACACUCUGGCCCAGGGAAGGCUCAAGGGCUAUGGGGUCA